rnacentral:rRNA from 1 species
UACGAGGGGUGCUAGCGUUGUUCGGAAUCACUGGGCGUAAAGGGUACGCAGGCGGUACAGCAAGUCGAUUGUGAAAGCCCCAGGCUCAACCUGGGAAUUGCGGUCGAAACUGCUGAACUAGAGUAUAGUGGGGGAUAGUGGAAUUCCUAGUGUAGGGGUGAAAUCCGUAGAUAUUAGGAGGAAUACCGGUGGCGAAAGCG